rnacentral:rRNA from 1 species
UUAAGCAUAUCAAUAAGCGGAGGAAAAGAAACCAACAGGGAUUGCCUUAGUAACGGCGAGUGAAGCGGCAACAGCUCAAAUUUGAAAUCUGGCCCUCGGGUCCGAAUUGUAAUUUGUAGAGGAUGCUUUUGGUGCGGUGCCUUCUGAGUUCCUUGGAACAGGACGCCUUAGAGGGUGAGAGCCCCGUACAGUUGGACACCAAGCCUUUGUAAAGCUCCUUCGACGAGUCGAGUAGUUUGGGAAUGCUGCUCUAAAUGGGAGGUAAAUUUCUUCUAAAGCUAAAUAUUGGCCAGAGACCGAUAGCGCACAAGUAGAGUGAUCGAAAGAUGAAAAGUACUUUGAAAAGAGGGUUAAAUAGCACGUGAAAUUGUUGAAAGGGAAGCGUUUAUGACCAGACCUUCGUCGGGCGGAUCAUCCGGUGUUCUUCACCGGUGCACUUCGCCCGGCUUAGGCCAGCAUCGGUUUUCGUAGGGGGAUAAAGGCCUAGGGAAUGUGGCUCCCUCCGGGGAGUGUUAUAGCCCUGGGCGUAAUACCUUUAUGGGGACCGAGGUUCGCGCUCCGGCAAGGAUGCUGGCGUAAUGGUCAUCAACGACCCGUCUUGAAACACGGACCAAGGAGUCGAACAUUUAUGCGAGUGUUUGGGUGUUAAACCCUUGCGCGUAAUGAAAGUGAACGUAGGUGAGAGCCCGUACGGGUGCAUCAUCGACCGAUCUUGAUGUUUUCGGAUGGAUUUGAGUAAGAGCAUAACUGUUCGGACCCGAAAGAUGGUGAACUAUGCGUGGAUAGGGUGAAGCCAGAGGAAACUCUGGUGGAGGCUCGCAGCGGUUCUGACGUGCAAAUCGAUCGUCAAAUCUGCGCAUGGGGGCGAAAGACUUAUCGAACCAUCUAGUAGCUGGUUACCGCCGAAG